rfam:Burkholderia sp. TSV86 TSV86_97, whole genome shotgun sequence.
GCAACCUGCGGCUCGCGCGCGAGGACCGCACGGUGUUCCUCAGCCUGCUCGGCAUCUCGUGGCUGUGGUUUGUCGGCGCGACAUUUCUCACGUCGUUUUUCGGCUUUGCGAAGGAUGUACUG